ACAUUCCUACGCUGUAGUUAACUGCAUUUAGAAGUUCCUCUUUUAGUGCUGGAUAAUAGCAUGAUUUAUGCACAAAGUUGUUUGUUUGUUUUUGUCGAACACCAUCAAAUAUAGUUAGCUUCUACUUCUUGAUUUGAUAUGAAACUGUACAUCAGUAUGUGAAAACUAUGUAUUGGAUUUUCUGGUUGUUUUAUCUGAAUCUAUACAUUACAGCCAAGUAAUAACCAAUAGUUAUCUGAAUCUGGAAGAGAAGGAACCGUGACCCCUUCCAGGCCUCAAGGCCGUCAGCCCUCUACUGGAACUCUCCUACACUACUCAGACUCCCUGCAACGUAAACUACUCUAUGGGACUUCUCUUGGAAGAGAGACUCCUCUCCCAGGCCAUCACCCCCUCUCUCCUGGAACACCCCUCUUUCACGGCCUCUACUUUUUAAAUACCAUCCACUCCUUCUUUUCCACUUGAAGCCAAAUCAUGGUAGUGCGAUUUGCCCAUACAGCUGCUGUUGUCUGUGUGUGGGACGUGCUGCUCCCCUUCUUUUCCCUACACCAUGCUUCAAUAUUUUAAAAGCAAGAAAGUGGUGCUGCCCAAGUUUUGUCUCCUAGCACUUUUACUCCAAUGCACCUCCUGGACGUACCAAAACUAAGCAAGGGACUCUCCAUUUUCAUCCUUCCCUCUGCACACGCCUCUCCGCUGAUCACGUGAACACCAACUCUGGACGUGUAUCUUGAAUGUUGCUGCUUGACGCUUGAAGUGUAGCAGGGAGCAGCUGCUGGAUCCAUCAUCAAACGCCGUGCACCUCUCCUUCUCUAUCCACAUAACCGUGCACAACAAUGUUUCCAAAACUUCCAAAGUACUUCAGCGUGUCUGCUUCAAUUCUUUUUCUUGCUUCUUCUUUUGUGUGUGCAUGCUGGAAUGCCCAAACUGCUUCGUCCAUCUUCUUCUUCCAGCAGCCAACUUCACUUUCGUUUCCAACAUCACGGGAGUUUCAUGUGCCAAGCUUUUCACCGUGCUUCCUUCUCCAUUCCAGCCAGCUACUGAAUCAGUUACAGCAGUAUCUUGGAGCUCUCUCUUCACGGCCUUGCUGCAGGUGGCUGCCUCCAUCCGUUUGUGUUUUUCUUCAUCACCGUGCAACUUUCCUGCUGGACCGAGGCUGCUAUUGGGUGUUGCUGCCAAUUCUGGACGGUGUGCGGGCCUCUCAAGCAUGCCGUAAUACCUCUUCUCAUUUGCGAACGUGGAAGUGCAGCCCCUUCACAAGUGCACCACCAAAAUUAAUUCCUUUGUGGGUCAUAUAAUAUUUGGACUUGUAUAAGUACCGUGAGCUCUUCCCUUCACGUGACCCCUCAUCUUUAUGAGAAUAUUAUUCCCUUUUCUAGUGGAGAUCCCCACUUUUAUUCCAUUUGUUUGCUGCAAUUUAAUGGCCAAUUGGAAAUCACGUUCCAAGCCAACAAGGGUGCGGCUCCCACUUCCAAAGAGAAAGAAGAUUCCCCAUUUUUGUUUACUGGUUGCCGUGCUUGGUUCAUUCACGUGGUCCCCUCCAUUAUGCUUCACGGCCACAUUCAUUUCUCAUAAGCCAAAUAAACAUUCUUCAAUCCUAGGUGGCACUCCCAUUUUUGUUCCAUGCUGGAUACUUGCCAAAAUGAAUUGUAAUUGGAUGUGCGUGACUUUUCAGCAAAUAUUGGACCUUACUUCAAUUCAAAUGUGUCGUGAGUUGUCUCCCCCAUUAUAAAAUUCACACUUCAUUCUUCAAUAAAUUCUCUAAAACAUGAGCUUCAAUUGCUUUGCCAAAAUGAAUUUUCCAAUGGGUAAUAGCUAUUAUGGCCGUGAGGUGUAACACUACAAGAAAUGUGUUAUUUACCGAAGGACUAAUACCGAAGGUCACUUGAGUCGCCGGUAAAGAUGAAUUACCGAAGGCUUUACCGAAGGUCAAUGAAAAUGGUUAUUAUGGACGACCUAUGCCCGUCGAUAAUGGGCAACUAAUUUACCGAAGGUGUUUGGCCAUCGGUAUAGGCAUGGACAUAUUGAAAUCAGGAAUUGGGAUUUCCCUCUUCCAUUUUCCCAAAAUCCGUAUUCGCGAAAGCAACCUGCCCUCCAUUUGAGUUCACUCCCCUCUCCCCCAUGUAAUCUCUGUCUCCUUCUCUCGUUCAGAGUUUGAAAGCACCAUUGAACCCCACUUGUGUAUUACGGUUCCGCCAUCGCCAUUGGACGUUCUCGAGCUCCUCUCCAUUCUCCAAAAGUGUGUGGGGUUGAAGGACGAAGGCAUUGAUGUGACGGCUUCCAUUGUGGACGGUGCUUCUCUUAGGGUUUGUUCACGACGGUCCUUUGGCGGCGUGAGGAGGUGUUGUCGCUGCGUCAGGGGUGAUGUCGUGACGUGAAGAGGUUGGGGGAAGAAAGUGUUAGUGAUCUGGGGUUUGGUUUGGUUUGAUUUGAUUUAAGCGGUUACCUGUUCAAGCUUCUGCUUAUCGGCGACUCUUCCGUCAGCAAUUCAUGCUUGCUUCUCUAAUUCGCUGUCGGUCUCUCAUCACUUCACCGUAUUUCCCCUUCUCUUUCGCUUUCUCUCAUCUUUUCAUUUCCUUUCCUUGCAGGAUAACUCGUAUGUGGACAGCUACAUAAGUACCAUUGGAGUUGCUUUCGUAAUCAUCACUUCUCUUCUUUUAUUUUCUGACUCUUUCUCUUUGUCUUUCUAUUUAUGCACCAUCUUCGUGUUGUUCUUCUCUUGCUUGGGCUGAGCAUUGUGUUCGUCGUCGAGGCAUCGUGGUGUUCUGGCGUGUUCUCCCUGGGAAAUUAAACUAUAGAUUCGUUCAUGCGGCUUAGAAUCCUGGCGAGAAAUCUUUCCGAUUUGUUUGUCUCCUAUAUCUUAUUCUCGAAAUUUUAAUUUUGCUUUCCUCCUUCUUCCAUCUGCUGCUGUUUACUACUUUCAUAUUUGUUUGGUCUCUUUAAAAGUGUGUGUUAUUUACUUGUAUAAUUUUACCUACCUCAACCACAUGCCUUUCCUGCCUUGGCUUUCCCUUGGAACCCCACCCUCCCUCGCGCGCUUCUCUUAGAGAUUGGGAGACCAUCAAAUCCAACGAUUCCUUGCUUGGACUCAUGUGCAGACAGUUGGAAUGGCAGUGGCGAGGGAUGCGAAGGAAGGAGAGGAAUCCGAUGGUCUGAGAGGCGUUCUACUUUUUCGAGGAACAAAUCCUCCAAGACACGAAAAGCGCCAUAGAAGAAAACGGAGGCGAUGCCAAAGUUGUUCUGAUUUAGGGUUUAUCUUCUCGCACAAUCCAAAGUUGCGCUCACCACCACUGGUUUAAAAAGCCUGCCAAGAUAAAAGAGAGUAAGCUUUCUUAAGAGCACGGUGACAGUAAUUUCUGGUCCAUGAAACAUUUCCCAUAACUAAAAUAUUGAUGGAAGCUGUUCUGGACUUUUUUUAAUUCAAGUAAAAUUGUCUUGCUAUUUGGGAAACUUAGAAACUAGGCAUGUUGCUAUAUAGUAGAACAAUGGUUGAAAUUUAUGAGAACUUGUCACAUACAAGGGCUUUUUCUUAUCUCUAGAUUUUACUUCAUUGCUGAAAUUGUUGGAAACUGUAACUGAAUGACGUUGUAUAGGUGGCAAGUCUUCUGUCCUACUCGAUGUCAAGCCUUGGGAUGAUGAGACCGACAUGAAGAAGCUGGGAGAGGUUGUCCGCAAUAUUGAGAUGCCUGGUUUAUUGUGGAGCACUUAUGUUCAAAGUUUCAUAAACUUUUCUCCCUCAAAGUUUCAUAAACUUUUCUCUCAUUCAUUCUCAAAAUUAACUAUCCUUUUGCUACUUUCUUUACUUUUUUCCUAUAAAUUUGUCAAACUCUGCAUAACCAGAAGAAGGUCAGAACAUAGAACUUCACCUAUUUUCUGGUUUAAUAUGUACUGCAUUUGGAUUUGCCUUCAAAGUUUUCAUUUUCCAACAAAGUGUUGUCAUGCCUUUUAUACUUUGAGAAUGUGUAUUCAGAAUUUUCAAACAUGUCAAGUUCUAACUUAUAUUUUAGUGUAACUGUUACUCAGACACAAGACUAUUCAACUUUUAUAUAAACUUUAUGCUGAUUUUACUGUUUUUGAGCUCACAAGAAAUUAGUUUUGUGUGGUUUUCCAUGUGCUAAUGCAAGUUCAAUUUGCUAUUCGCAAGUUGAUGUUGGUCUUUCCUUGAUUAUGAAUUGCAAGUUAGGAAGUAUGUUGAGAAGAUUGGUUUGUGUUUACAUGACAGAGAAAAGAGGAUUCUGCAGUGCAAAGAGAAGCAUUGGGCGGAUGCAAACAAUCUUUUAUUAUUAUUAUUGUUGUUUUGUUAUUAUUAUUAUUAUUUUUGGUUGAAUGUAGGGUAUCAUUUAGCGAAGAGUCAACAACUAAUUCUUUGAGAUUUGCUGAGAUUUCGUCCAAUGAUGAUUCUGGUGAAAACAGCCCUGACAUUUCUGAUCACGAAGAGAAAGUAGAAGAAGUUGAUACUGUUACCUGUGUUUUUUUUUAUAUACCAGUGCACACAUUUUCUCUGCAUUGUUUGGCAUGUUUUACGUGAUUCAUCCUAGGUCUUUUCUAAGGAUGCUAUAUACUCUUGCAGUAAAAGUUGUUUUUAGAGGCUUUAA